rnacentral:tRNA from 1 species
AGGUGUAUAGCUCAAGUGGUAGAGCGCAUGCUUGGCAUCCACGAGGUGCUGGGUUGAAUCCCCAGUACCUCCU